GUUAGGUGUAUGUUUAGGAGGCUCCACUUUAGUCAGCUAAAGGGAAAUUCAGAGAAGAUUCCUGCAGCAGCUUCUGUAGCUCAAGUAUUUUCACUUUAAAAUCUUCUCUGUAUCAACACUGAGGGUUCAAGUAGAUCCCCACACUAAUAUUAUCAUCUCUCAGUUUAUCCCAAGAUACUGAAUAUAGUUCCCUGUGCUAAACGAUUGGAGUCAAGGCCUGAAUGGAGAGCAUGUUAUCAUUGUUCUUGUGAACAAUUCCAAGGGACAGAGAGGAAGGGACAAAUUUCCCUGCAAAAGAGGUAAGUCAGACUUGGAU